GACAUUUGCAAAAUCAUGACUGAACAGUAAAUUACAGAGAAGAAGAGCACAGAAGGUAACUCGUGAAACAUCUUAGAGUUUUCAAGGAUCUGCAGGUAUGUGGGAUUCAGAAGUUUCAAUGGAGAGGAUCUGGCUACAUCUCAGGUGUCCCUUGAGAUGCUGUGUAUGGAUGGAGUCUGAGACUAUAGUUCAUCCUCGCCUUAGCCCAGAUCAUGCCGACCCAUUCCAGGCCCUUCCCUUGGCAAAGUCACACCAAAGAUACAGAGCAUUCAGAUACUGAACAGGAAUAUUGUCAGUACGGUGUUUUCCAAUCAGAGGCCAACACAUAGCACAAGACUUGAUUUGGGAUCUCUACCCUGGAAACUGGAAGGUUCUGCUCUUCAGGGAAGGUGCACAGUGCACAGAGAGGGGACAUGGUGGCCUCUACAGAUGUCCCAUAGGUGCUGGAAUGCUG
rnacentral:lncRNA from 1 species